UACGUAGGGUGCGAGCGUUGUCCGGAAUUAUUGGGCGUAAAGGGCUCGUAGGCGGUUUGUCGCGUCGGGAGUGAAAACACGGGGCUUAACCCCGUGCCUGCUUCCGAUACGGGCAGACUAGAGGUAUGCAGGGGAGAACGGAAUUCCUGGUGUAGCGGUGAAAUGCGCAGAUAUCAGGAGGAACACCGGUGGCGAAGGCGGUUCUCUGGGCCGUAACUGACGCUGAGGAGCGAAAGCGUGGGGAGCGAACAGG
rnacentral:rRNA from 1 species